UGAGUAAUGUCUGGGAAACUGCCUGAUGGAGGGGGAUAACUACUGGAAACGGUAGCUAAUACCGCAUAACGUCGCAAGACCAAAGAGGGGGACCUUCGGGCCUCUUGCCAUCGGAUGUGCCCAGAUGGGAUUAGCUAGUAGGUGGGGUAACGGCUCACCUAGGCGACGAUCCCUAGCUGGUCUGAGAGGAUGACCAGCCACACUGGAACUGAGACACGGUCCAGACUCCUACGGGAGGCAGCAGUGGGGAAUAUUGCACAAUGGGCGCAAGCCUGAUGCAGCCAUGCCGCGUGUAUGAAGAAGGCCUUCGGGUUGUAAAGUACUUUCAGCGGGGAGGAAGGCGAUAAGGUUAAUAACCUUGUCGAUUGACGUUACCCGCAGAAGAAGCACCGGCUAACUCCGUGCCAGCAGCCGCGGUAAUACGGAGGGUGCAGGCGUUAAUCGGAAUUACUGGGCGUAAAGCGCACGCAGGCGGUCUGUCAAGUCGGAUGUGAAAUCCCCGGGCUCAACCUGGGAACUGCAUUCGAAACUGGCAGGCUAGAGUCUUGUAGAGGGGGGUAGAAUUCCAGGUGUAGCGGUGAAAUGCGUAGAGAUCUGGAGGAAUACCGGUGGCGAAGGCGGCCCCCUGGACAAAGACUGACGCUCAGUGCGAAAGCGUGGGGAGCAAACAGGAUUAGAUACCCUGGUAGUCCACGCCGUAAACGAUGUCGACUUGGAGGUUGUGCCCUUGAGGCGUGGCUUCCGGAGCUAACGCGUUAAGUCGACCGCCUGGGGAGUACGGCCGCAAGGUUAAAACUCAAAUGAAUUGACGGGGGCCCGCACAAGCGGUGGAGCAUGUGGUUUAAUUCGAUGCAACGCGAAGAACCUUACCUACUCUUGACAUCCAGAGAACUUAGCAGAGAUGCUUUGGUGCCUUCGGGAACUCUGAGACAGGUGCUGCAUGGCUGUCGUCAGCUCGUGUUGUGAAAUGUUGGGUUAAGUCCCGCAACGAGCGCAACCCUUAUCCUUUGUUGCCAGCGGUCCGGCCGGGAACUCAAAGGAGACUGCCAGUGAUAAACUGGAGGAAGGUGGGGAUGACGUCAAGUCAUCAUGGCCCUUACGAGUAGGGCUACACACGUGCUACAAUGGCGCAUACAAAGAGAAGCGACCUCGCGAGAGCAAGCGGACCUCAUAAAGUGCGUCGUAGUCCGGAUUGGAGUCUGCAACUCGACUCCAUGAAGUCGGAAUCGCUAGUAAUCGUGGAUCAGAAUGCCACGGUGAAUACGUUCCCGGGCCUUGUACACAGCGCCCGUCACACCAUGGGAGUGGGUUGCAAAAGAAGUAGGUAGCUU
rnacentral:rRNA from 1 species